GGGAUCAUUACAAAACGAGUGCCUCCAGGCUCUCCAACCCACUGUGAACAUACCUAUCGUUCCCUCGGCGGGCUCAGCGCACCGGCGCCUUCGGGCCCGGGGCGUCCGCCGGGGACAACCAAACUCUGAAUUUUAUGGUGUAUUCUGAGGGGCGAAAGCCCGUAAAACAAAUAAAUCAAAACUUUCAACAACGGAUCUCUUGGCUCUGGCAUCGAUGAAGAACGCAGCGAAAUGCGAUAAGUAAUGUGAAUUGCAGAAUUCAGUGAAUCAUCGAAUCUUUGAACGCACAUUGCGCCCGCCGGCACUCCGGCGGGCAUGCCUGUCCGAGCGUCAUUUCAACCCUCAGGGCCCCUUCCGGGGGGCACCUGGUGUUGGGGAUCAGCGGCCCUAGCGGCCCCUGCCCCCUAAAUUCAGUGGCGGUCGCGCCGCAGCCUCCCCUGCGUAGUAGCACACCUCGCACCGGAGAGCGGAACGACCACGCCGUGAAACCCCCAACUUAUCAAGGUGACCUCGAUCAGUAGGAAUACCCGCUGAACUUAAGCAUAUCAAUAAGGCGGAGGAAAUUUU
rnacentral:misc_RNA from 1 species